GCUGGAUUAUGUCUGGAUUUUUGCGGAUGCACCUACUAUACCUGAUCUCAGCUCAUAGGCUCUGUUGGCACUGUGAGCAUUCCCAAACUUUGGCAGCAACAGAGGCCAUUUUUGAGCGACAUGAUGUGUGAUAUUGACAAAAUCAAAGGCCCAGCAUCCUGGAACACUGGCCUGCUUCUUGAGCUGGAUCACUCAUGGAAUAUGACAGCAUCGCAUGUCCUGGAAGACCAUGUUUUGCUGUAGCACGUCUGUCAAAUAAACAAGUGAGACUGGGAGUAAAAGA